rnacentral:rRNA from 1 species
CCUACGGGUGGCAGCAGUGGGGAAUAUUGCACAAUGGGGGAAACCCUGAUGCAGCGACGCCGCGUGAGGGAAGACGUAUUUCUGUACGUAAAGCUCUAUCAGCACGGAAGUAAAUGACGGUACCUGACUAAGAAUGACCGGCUAACUAAGUGCCAGCAGCCGCGGCAAUACGUAGGGGGCCAGCGUUAUCCGGAUUGGCUGGGUGUAAAGGGAGCGUAGAUGGCAGCCCAAGUCUGAAGUGAACUCCCAUGGUUUAACGAUGGAACUGCUUGUGAUACUGUGGAGCUAGAGUGCAGGUGCGGUAGGCGGAAUGCAUAGUGUAGCGGUGAAAUGCAUAGAGAUUAGACGGAACACCGGUGGCGAAGGCAGCUUACUAAACUGCGACUGACGUUGAGGCUCGAAAGCGUGGGGAGCAAACAGGAUUAGAUACCCGGGUAGUC